GGGAGUUUGGCCGAGUGGUUAAGGCGCCGUGUUUAGGUCUUAGUGAGUGUCACUGAACCCAAAACCGCGGUGGGAAACCGCGCAGGUUCGAAUCCUGCAGCUCUCA